rnacentral:rRNA from 1 species
AGCCAGACUCCUACGGGAGGCAGCAGUGGGGAAUAUUGGGCAAUGGGCGCAGGCCUGACCCAGCAACGCCGCGUGAAGGAAGAAGGCUUUCGGGUUGUAAACUUCUUUUCUCAGGGACGAAGCAAGUGACGGUACCUGAGGAAUAAGCCACGGCUAACUACGUGCCAGCAGCCGCGGUAAUACGUAGGUGGCACGCGUUAUCCGGAUUUACUGGGUGUAAAGGGCGAGUAGGCGGCCUGCCAAGUCUGAUGUGAAAUACCGGGGCUCAACCCCGGGGCUGCAUUGGAAACUGGCAGGCUGGAGUGCCGGAGAGGCAGGCGGAAUUCCUAGUGUAGCGGUGAAAUGCGUAGAUAUUAGGAGGAACACCAGUGGCGAAGGCGGCCUGCUGGACGGUGACUGACGCUGAGGCUCGAAAGCGUGGGGAGCAAACAGGAUUAGAUACCCGUGUAC